rnacentral:rRNA from 1 species
AAACGAUUGAAGUCAGUCAUGCCAGUGAGAAAUCAGCUUACAGGCUACUGUGAGUGCACUUUUUCGCAAGGCAGGUUAACAUCGGUUUUUGUUGCGUCAUAAUGAUUGUAGGAAGGUGGCUCCUUCGGGAGUGUUAUAGCCUACUUUAGAUGGCGCGACGAGGACUGAGGAUUGCAGCGAAUGCCUUUGGCUACGGAUCUUUUCUCUGUCGAUCUUCGAUUGAUCGUCAGCUUGCUGACGAGCGGUUGAUAGGUUUGCAAUAGGAUGGAAUCCGAUAAAUUCGCUAAGGAUGUUGACGUAAUGGCUUUAAACGA